AAGAGAGCUGGGGAUUCUCAUUCCACUUGGUUGACUAGUAAUUAGACAAACUAAAGUAACUAACAGCUGCCUCUUCUUGGAGACAUGUUUUUUUAAAUUUGCUUAAUUAAGAUCAAAGCUGGAGUUGAUUAUCAUGAAACUCUUGGGGUGAAUUUCAGGUAACAGCAAACAGAUGGGAAGAUCAGAGGGGAGGAGAGGCGGUCCUUUUCUCUGUUCACGUGACAUCUCUUAACUGAAAAGCUCCUCCCUCAGUGGAGAGCUCUCGGCAGGCGUGCGGGGCUCCUGUCGCUUCUGAGAAGGGCAGCCUGGUGGACUCAGCUUCCGCAGCCCUUUUGCGCCUGGCUGGGACGGGGCAGUGGAGCAGAGGAGGAGGGCAGCAGCGUGGAGGAAACUCAGGAGGAGCCACUGCAACUGCAUUUCUCAGACUGCUAAAAGUGUUAACGUGUUCAGGCUGACGUUUGUGACUACCAAUAAGAUUGAUGCAACUGGAAAGGGUCCAGUGAAGACAGGUUGUUUGUUGAGUGGAAGAUAUCAACUGAAAUUCCUCUGAAGAUGACAAAUUUUCAUUCUGUAGGGAUCUCUCAGAAACUUUACCAUCUCUCAAAUCUACUUGUUCCUUAGGUCUCUUUAGCUCUUCAAAUUUCAAUAGACAAUUGUAUUCAUUUUAAAAGCAGACAACAGUAACCCAAGUAGAUUUUUGAAAAAAAAAAACUAUAUGCAAACUUGUAGAAAGUUUGUAUAACUCUUUCAACAGUCAAUCUUUUUUUUAAAAGUAUUUAUUUAUUGAUUUGGCUGCACCAGGUCUUACUUGUGGC